rnacentral:rRNA from 1 species
AGCAGCAGCCGCGGUAACACAGAGGGUGCGAGCGUUAAUCGGAUUUACUGGGCGUAAAGCGUGCGUAGGCGGCUUCUUAAGUCGGAUGUGAAAUCCCUGAGCUUAACUUAGGAAUUGCAUUCGAUACUGGGAAGCUAGAGUAUGGGAGAGGAUGGUAGAAUUCCAGGUGUAGCGGUGAAAUGCGUAGAGAUCUGGAGGAAUACCGAUGGCGAAGGCAGCCAUCUGGCCUAAUACUGACGCUGAGGUACGAAAGCAUGGGGAGCAAACAGGAUUAGAUACCCGCGUAGUCCCUGUCUCUUAUAC